AAGGAGGAAAACAAGCUUGAUUUUAAGAAAUUGGUCGGUGAUAACUGGAUAGAACCACCUAGAAGAGAAAGGAAGAGGAACUACUCUGAAUCUGAAUUCUUUAAGCAAGCACUUCUCCAAGGUGCACCAGCAAAACCUAGUGAACCAAGAAUUCCAAGAAUGCCACGCUUGCAUGAUUUCCAGUUCUUCAACAACCAAAGGCUUAAUGAAUAUAUACACUGAAAAAUGUACAGAGUCUGAAGACUUCGUUCAGGGCCUCUUGCUGCGAGGGUCAUAUACCAGGAAAACUAACCCAGAGUCCGAAGACUUUGUUCAGGGCCUCUUGCUGCGAGGGUCAUAUACCAGGAAAACCAACUUAGGUGCAUUGCCUUCGCUAAUGUCGUAUGGUUGCUAG